rnacentral:lncRNA from 1 species
CGCGGAAAAGGUAGCUUGGCGGCUUGUGCUAAAGAAGGGCCUUUGAAGGGUCAACUCCCCUCAUUCCAGGUGACCAGUGGUCCUCCUUUCUGAAGGCUCUUGCUACAAAGGAAAGAUGAGGAUAUUCUAUUUCUUGAUCCCUCUCAGCUACUGGGAGCUGCUUUGUGCCUUGGAAGCCUCAAGCUGAAAUGGAUGUCAGCCUCAAGUUUAACUCCAAGAGGGUUCACCUUGUUUCUUUGAACAAAAUGUGCUGCCUGUUGCUUCCCUUUGCCAGGAGUGGUGUUCCCUUUUCCACAGGUCUGGACCACAGUGUCUCUAGCUCCCGCUCCUGGAUACUUGGUUACUGUGUGUUUCGGUAAAAAAGCAUCCACAACAUGAAUAUCCACUAAGCUGUAACAGGGCCUGCUGCAACUAUAGUAUUUCCUGAAAAAGUAUCAACUGCCACAAGGGCCACAAAUAAAGUCUGUGAACUUGAAAUAACCAUGGAGAAUGAAAUGUUCUGAUUCAGAUCAUCGGUGGGAUUUCACUGGGAAAUCUCCCACUGGGCAAGAGUAGAUGAUGGAGGAGGAGAAACAGUCACUAGAAAAAGGUGAUACUUUGUAUCAAGAAACAAUUAAAAAUUAGAUCACAUCCUGAAACAUUAAGCAUAUGCUCCUUUGUGAGGCUUGCCUGGCUGAACUUGAACUGGAUUGAGUGAAUAAUUUCUUAAAAACAAUCAAAAUCACAGAUUUAUUCUAUUUUAAAUACUUAUAUUUACUUAUAUUUCAUUCAGAAAUUAGUUAACAAAUAAUUUUUGAGUAUCCUGGGAACUGUUCUAAUCAUUAAACAUGCAAGUUUGAAGAAAGUAAGGAUGAAUCUGCCUGCGUGGGGCUCUCAAUCUAGCGAGAAGCAGAUAAGAAGACAAAUGUCAGGGAAGAUCACACAACCUUCAGGAUCUAAACCUUAACCUUCCUGGCUGAUGCUGAAAGAGAGCUUGUAUGAAACACGUUCUUACAAAACUAUUUGGUGGAUCGUGACAAAGACGAAUGACUGGGUACUAUAAUUUAAAAUGGAAAAUAAGGGAUGGAGAAGACUUAAUCCUAUCUGGAAGGAGCCAGUGCACAGCAAAGAUGGCAGAGAGAGAAAAGAGAGGGAGUGACAAUGAAGUAAGGCUACAGAGAGAUGACCAAGUGUCCCAGAGGAGGAAUUCUCUUUCGGAAAGAGAUAGACACCUCUUCC